GGACCCGCACAAGCGGUGGAGCAUGUGGUUUAAUUCGAAGCAACGCGAAGAACCUUACCAAGUCUUGACAUCGGAAUGACCGGUCCGUAACGGGACCUUCCCUUCGGGGCAUUCCAGACAGGUGGUGCAUGGUUGUCGUCAGCUCGUGUCGUGAGAUGUUGGGUUAAGUCCCGCAACGAGCGCAACCCUUAUCCUUAGUAGCCAGCAGGUCAAGCUGGGCACUCUGGGGAGACUGCCAGGGAUAACCUGGAGGAAGGUGGGGAUGACGUCAAAUCAUCAUGCCCCUUAUGAUUUGGGCUACACACGUGCUACAAUGGCGUAAACAAAGGGAAGCAAAGGAGCGAUCCGUAGCAAACCCCAAAAAUAACGUCUCAGUUCGGAUUGUAGUCUGCAACUCGACUACAUGAAGCUGGAAUCGCUAGUAAUCGCGGAUCAGAAUGCCG
rnacentral:rRNA from 1 species